UACGUAGGGUGCGAGCGUUAAUCGGAAUUACUGGGCGUAAAGCGUGCGCAGGCGGUUUUGUAAGCCAGAUGUGAAAUCCCCGGGCUCAACCUGGGAAUGGCAUUUGGGACUGCAAAGCUGGAGUGCGGCAGAGGGGACUGGAAUUCCUGGUGUAGCAGUGAAAUGCGUAGAGAUCAGGAGGAAUACCGAUGGCGAAGGCAGGUCCCUGGGCCGAUACUGACGCUGAGGAGCGAAAGCGUGGGGAGCGAACAGG
rnacentral:rRNA from 1 species